rnacentral:rRNA from 1 species
GAUGAACGCUGGCGGCGUGCCUAAUACAUGCAAGUCGAGCGAACAGAUAAGGAGCUUGCUCCUUUGAAGUUAGCGGCGGACGGGUGAGUAACACGUGGGUAACCUACCUAUAAGACUGGGAUAACUUCGGGAAACCGGAGCUAAUACCGGAUAACAUUUAGAACCGCAUGGUUCUAAAGUGAAAGAUGGUUUUGCUAUCACUUAUAGAUGGACCCGCGCCGUAUUAGCUAGUUGGUAAGGUAACGGCUUACCAAGGCGACGAUACGUAGCCGACCUGAGAGGGUGAUCGGCCACACUGGAACUGAGGCACGGUCCAGACUCCUACGGGAGGCAGCAGUAGGGAAUCUUCCGCAAUGGGCGAAAGCCUGACGGAGCAACGCCGCGUGAGUGAUGAAGGGUUUCGGCUCGUAAAACUCUGUUAUUAGGGAAGAACAAAUGUGUAAGUAACUGUGCACAUCUUGACGGUACCUAAUCAGAAAGCCACGGCUAACUACGUGCCAGCAGCCGCGGUAAUACGUAGGUGGCAAGCGUUAUCCGGAAUUAUUGGGCGUAAAGCGCGCGUAGGCGGUUUCUUAAGUCUGAUGUGAAAGCCCACGGCUCAACCGUGGAGGGUCAUUGGAAACUGGGAAACUUGAGUGCAGAAGAGGAAAGUGGAAUUCCAUGUGUAGCGGUGAAAUGCGCAGAUAUAUGGAGGAACACCAGUGGCGAAGGCGACUUUCUGGUCUGUAACUGACGCUGAUGUGCGAAAGCGUGGGGAUCAAACAGGAUUAGAUACCCUGGUAGUCCACACCGUAAACGAUGAGUGCUAAGUGUUGGAGGGUUUCCGCCCUUCAGUGCUGCAGCAAACGCAUUAAGCACUCCGCCUGGGGGGUACGACCGCAAGGUUGAAACUCAAAGGAAUUGACGGGGGCCCGCACAAGCGGUGGAGCAUGUGGUUUAAUUCGAAGCAACGCGAAGAACCUUACCAGGUCUUGACAUCCUUUGACCACUCUAGAGAUAGAGCUUUCCCUUCGGGGACAAAGUGACAGGUGGUGCAUGGUUGUCGUCAGCUCGUGUCGUGAGAUGUUGGGUUAAGUCCCGCAACGAGCGCAACCCUUAUUGUUAGUUGCCAUCAUUUAGUUGGGCACUCUAGCGAGACUGCCGGUGACAAACCGGAGGAAGGUGGGGAUGACGUCAAAUCAUCAUGCCCCUUAUGACCCGGGCUACACACGUGCUACAAUGGGAAGUACAACGAGUCGCUAGACCGCGAGGUCAUGCAAAUCUCUUAAAGCUUCUCUCAGUUCGGAUUGCAGGCUGCAACUCGCCUGCAUGAAGCCGGAAUCGCUAGUAAUCGCGGAUCAGCGCGCCGCGGUGAAUACGUUCCCGGGCCU